GUUCCGCUAGGGGGUGUGGCCGCCAGCCCUGGGACCUGGGGCAGUUCCAAGCCGGGUGGGGCGGCGGGAGUUCCUCGCGGGAGGAUCCCUUCUCCAGUCGCCGGCUCCCGCGCGCAUGCGCAGCCGCAUAUUCUUACUCUCCGGCUCCUAUGGAAUGUGGCAGGAGGGAGUGGGCUUGCGCAGGCCCGGCUACCGAAUUCCAUGACACUUAUAUACCAUAAAGUGAAGUAAGCUGAAUCAGGAAAAACAAUAUAACAAAUGACUACAAUAUAAAUGGAAGGAACAAAUGUGUCUGAAUGCUGUGAAAAAUCAAAAUGACAAUAGAAAAGAUUUACGAAUGUUACCUCCUUUUGCAGAGAGAGCCAUCCCAUGUAACAAAGAUAUUAAGUGAAGAACAAAGCCUGCACAACUGAUCAACACAUUGGA